rnacentral:lncRNA from 1 species
AAAAAGCCUCUCCCUUUUCCUCUGCUAGGGUUUCACCUAGCAUCAACGCCGUCAUCGAUCCGCUACCCCUCCGCCAUGGUGCACCGUGGCCGGGGGCCGGAGUAGCGCAAAAAUGGGGAUUUUAAGUCUUUCGUUUGGAGGCUACGCCUUCUCGACCAGAAGGCCGAAGGACCAGAACCCUAACCCCUCUAUGAUCUAGCCUCGGUGACGGAGAGGAGGACCUCCAACAAUGAACUUGCGAAGUAGAUACUACUAGUAAGCUCCCCUUUCCUUUUGUUUUUUGUUUGUUAUUCGAGAUGGGUUUAUUCGAAAAAAAACGAAAAUAAAAGAAAAGAAAAGAAAAACAAAAUCACCCUUUUUUUUAACUCUAAAUAUGAGUUUUUUUAUUGCUAUUGCGUUUGUAUUCAAUAAUCGUGUCCAAAAAAAGAUUGAUACAUCAUUCACAGCUUUAUAACCGAAUAAAAAAUCCAAAAAAAUACAAUUUUUCAUAUUUUUCUACGUAUUUGCUAUUGUUUUUAUUUGAUUUGCAAGUACAAGGCCAACUGGACAGUGGCACGAGGCGGUGGUACAGAGGGUACGGAGCCAGGCUAUUAGGGUGGUUGCGGCGCAAGAGUGGAAGCCCUAGGGUUUCCUGAGAAUGGUUUGAGCUUUGGGCCAUUUGGGCCAAUGUAAUUGGGUUUAGGUUUAUUUUAUUUUGGCUUGUAUUGGGUUUGGGUUUAGUUAGUUGUUAGGUUAUUGAACCCUUGUAAUUUGGGUCAUAAUUUUGUAAACUAGACUGUGGACAUUUGUUGUUUAUUUUGGGUUUAUUCUUUGUUUUAAUCUGGUUUUGGUGUGGGCCUGGG